CUAUGGCCAUACCACCCUGAACGCGCCCAAUCUCGUCUGAUCUCGGAAGCUAAGCAGGGUCGGGCCUGGUUAGUACUUGGAUGGGAGAAAAUAAUGGAAGAUAAGGGCUAAUUAGU
rnacentral:rRNA from 1 species